rnacentral:tRNA from 1 species
GGGCGAUUAGCUCAGUUGGUAGAGCAGCUGAUUCUUAAUCAGCGGGUCACAGGUUCAAGUCCUGUAUCGCCCA